AUAAUCACGAGAAUGUGAAACGCUUUUAAAAGAAUGCACCGCUAAAUAAUAAUAAUGAUUUGAAAUAUAUUUUCGAUUCUUUAGUUCCUGAAGCUCCGAAAAAUCUUCGUUUGGUAGCUCAGACACAGAACCAAGUGAAACUAACCUGGGAUCCGCCCUCAAACUGUAACACUGUGGUGAAAUAUAUCAUACUGAUAGAAUGUGAAACACAGAAUUAUAGCAAAAAACAAACGGUUAUGGAAAACAUUUCCAUUAUUAAUGGUUUAAUUCCAGCUACGAACUAUAUCUUACAGGUGGCGGCUGCAAACAAAAGAGGACGUGGUCCAUUCUCUUCACUACAAAUUAAUACACCAGACAAAUAUAGUUAUAUUCCCCCGAAACUUAAUGUAGCAGUUAUUGGUAGAAAUGAGGUGCACUUGUCAUGGCUACCACCAAAAGAUGCACUCGGACGUGUCAACCGUUAUGAAGUUUUCAUGGAUGGAACAUUGGUAUAUUCAGGAAAUAAUAUGACCCUUGCUCUUACAAGAUUGACACCCGAUAGAGAAUAUACAUUUGUGGUAUCGGCUAUAACUAACGAAGGACGACUUGAUAGUGUUCCAUUGAAGAAGAAAACAUUUAAAGACGAUUUUAAUACAGAAACUAUCGUUUCGAGGUCGGUGACAAAUCUUGUAAAGAACAAAUAUUUUUCAAAGAAACCAAUAAAAUCGUAUCUGGCUCCAAGAAGAUGCAAAUCAGCUUAUUGUUUAAAAAGAAAUCAUUCAAAAAUAAAGGCUUCAGCAUCCGCCUCUUUACUAACCAAAAGAUCUACAUUCCAAAAACAUCAAAGUCAUUCUGCAUCACCAUUUAUGCAUCAUAUGCACAAUAAAAAGCAUAAUACGAAAUCCACACUAAUUAAUAAACGUUCAGCUAAAGAAUCUUUAGCUUUGUUGCCACCCAGUCAAAUUAACAUCAGUAUGUGUGGACACGAAUUAAAUAUUCUAGACAGUGAAUUUUUAUUAGAAACCGGUGACGGUCUGGAUUUGGAUAAAACCGUUGCUCUUUCAAAGACACCAGCCAAUUCAUCACUGGGAAACAGACUUCAUACCGCCGGCGAAAUAAUUGGACCGUUCCAUUCUACACCAAAUAAAGAGAACAUGGUAAAUACUUAUGAAGAGCGACAGUUCUCAAAGAAACUUCUUACUUCAAUGUGGAGUAUUCCACAAAACCUUCAAAGCAGACGACUAAAGAAAACCAGCGCCAAGCAACGUACUGAACAAUUACAUGUAUCUAACGCAAAACACAUAGAUAUAGAAAAGAACAAUUCUUGUUGUGUAGGCACAAAGUCUCGUUUGGAACGGAAAAUUCCCCGUGAUGAACUUGUCUCCAAAGAAAAAAGUAGAGGUAGUAAAGAAGUUUGCAAAAACAAUCAUUCCAAGAGUACAACUACUAAAGUUGAUCGAAGAACUAUAACCAUCGCUAGAAGUUUACACAAUCUUAAAUUAAACGAAGAUAAACGUUUGAGUAAAGAACUAAUAAGAUUAUCACCAUCUGUCGGCACCACAAAAAAGUUUGGUACUAAAGAAAUUAACAAGGCAAAACUAGUCUCAAAAGAUAAUCCGUCUUCAGGGAUUAAGAAUAAAGAUGAAAACAUUUCACCCGAGAAACUUUCUAAAAGUGAAUGUAAUAGCAAGCAGGAUAAACGCCAAAAAUCUAAAAAAAGUGUCCAUAAAAAUAAAUACAUGCGUUCAUCUGGCAGCGGAAAACACUCGCCGAAGUCUACAUCAAGCUUGACUUCAUCAUCCGGUAAAAGCAAAGUGAUACGAAUGCGCGGGAAGUCUGCCAUUUUAUCUUCUCCACAACUUGUUGGUAGGUCAAAUGGAACAGUGAAAGAAAGCAAGACAUCUCCUGGGAAAAUUUACUCAUCUCAUAAAGUAGGACAUUGGAGGAGUGCAGUGAAAAGUGAUGCAUCGAAAAAUGAUUUGACAACCAACGCUUUAAUCGAACAAGUUGUUUAUUCUGUACGUAAGCCGUCGUCCACUGGAAGAGCUAAAUCAAGUUAUCCCAGGCUAAGCGCGAUCACACUGACAUCAGAUGUCGCAGAGUAUCGCUACAAGUCUGCUGGCCACGGGGAAAAUUUCUUGCCCAGCCAAGUUCGGGCUCAGCCAAGUAAUUUGAAUUUACGCCAACUGGAAAGAAUCCAUUCAACGCUAUUGGAAAUGAAAGUGUUCUUGACGGUGAGGAUUACAAGGAAGUCUCUGAAAUUGCAAUAGUCUCUGAACGACUAUUGCAAGGGAUUUUACUCAAGAAGCAUUGCUUGUUCGGUUUUCUCGCCAAAGACAACAAGGGAAACUCGAAUCUACGAAGAAUAAUAUAUAAAAAAAUGCAAGAUAUGAUACCUACAUCUAUAUCUAUUGAUCCUUCG
rnacentral:misc_RNA from 1 species